CCUUGGGAUCUGUGCUGGGCACAGAAGGUGUUUCCAUUGCUCUGAGACUGUCUGCUGUGCAAAGUGGAUUUAAUAGCCAGCAGAGGAAUGACUUUUGCAUUUGAUGGAGCUGUGCCUUCCCUUGGCUUUGUUGGCUGGCAAUAAAUGAACAUCCCUCUGUGUCUGGGGCAGCUCCUUCUCCAAGGAAAGCAGGUGGGAGUUGGAGCCAAGGAGCUGAAACCUGCAGGUGCAGCCUGGGCUGGAGGGAGCUCAGAUUUGCACAAGGCUGCUCUGAGUGCCAGGGCUUGGAUGGGGGAAAUGGUGGGGUGGGGGCAGGGACAGAGUCUGAUGGAUUGUCAGCCACAAAGGGUCUUGAUUUUCAUAUCUAUUCCAACUGCAUGAGGAGGCACUUGGAUUCAGUGUCAAUUGGAGAUUUCACACAUCAAUUUAUUAGGAGUAAAAAAAACUAAACAGGACCUGAAGAAAUCUUUUCUCACUGUCCUUUUAAAUAUAGUGUAAUCAACCACAAGAGAUUUGAAAACUUAAAUGAUUCCCAGGGCUUGGCUUGUUAAGGUGUUCUGAAUGUUAAUGAGCCCUGGGGCACUGAAUUCCUGCACUGAGGAGCUGAAGGCUGAAGAAGCCUCUGGAGCAGUAAAAUUCAGCAGCAGCCUCCAAGUUGCUGAGGAUGUCAGCAGCCCCCACUGAGGCCAUCCCUGCCCAGAGACCCUGGGGGAAUGGGCAGACAAGGAGAGCGUCCCUGGGGCUGGGGCAGCAGAACUCAGAGGCACCAGCGGCUCCAGCUGGGAAAUGGAGUGUGGGAUGGGGCUGUGAAAGCCCUGCCUGGGCUGUGCCAAGCAGGACACACAAGCCCUGACCCCCAUCCCCUAAAAAACUCUCUCAAUGGGACAUUUAAAAGGAAUUACAAUUGGUUCUGUCCUCUGAGUUGGAUGCACUGAAGAAAUACCAACAAGAGAUUCUCAGGAGCUCAAAACAAUAAAACAGCCUUUCUGGCAACAUAGAAGAUAAGAGAAACUUUGGGAAAAGGUUUAAUAGGUCAUUAAAUCAACAAAAAACAUUUCUCAAAGCAUUAAUCCUCGGAUGUAGGGAGUUUUGGAGGUGGAAUCCCAGUUUUGGCCAUGACAGGAUGAAUGAUUUUUUCCUAUAGGAAAGAGAAGUGCAAGUCCAAGUGUUCUGGAAGAAGAUGAGAGGUGGGCACCCUUAGGCCAAGCCAGCCAGACCUGUCUCUCCUGACACCUUUCGUCUAGGGGCUAUCCUUGGACACAGGGCAUUUUGGAGGUGGAAUCUCAAUUUUGGCUGUGGGUUCCUGGAUAGGAAGAAUUAUUUACAUUAGGAAGAAAAGAACAGAGCCCCGGUGUUUCAGAGGCACAUGAAUGCCAGCCCUCAGGAAGCCAAGGCCAGCCAGACUUGUCAGUCCUGGCAGCUUCUGUCUGGGAGCUAUCCUUGGAUAUAGGGAAUUCUGGAGGCAGAUCCUCAGUUUUGGCCAUGGGUGCCUGGUGGAGAUGGAUGGUUUUUUUCUCAUAAGAAAGAAAAGCACACGGUCCCAGUGUUUCAAAGGCAGAUGAGAGGUGACCCUUGGGUGGUCAAGGCAGCCAGACCUGUCUCUCCUGGCAGAUUUCAUCUGGAAACAAUCCUUUUACAUAAGGAAAUUUGGAGAAGAAAUCCCAGUUUUGGCCCUGGUUCCCUGGAGGAGAAGGACAGUUCUCUCCCAUGGGAAGGAAAGCCCAGAGCCCCAGGGCUUCAGGGGCAGAUGAGAAGCAGCCCUUGACAUGCCAAGGUCAGCCAGACCUGUCAGGUGGUCCCCAGGAGGCCCAGCCAGCCAGACCUGUUCCAUGUUCCCUUGGUUCCAUGGACCCCACAGUGUCACAAUGGUCUCCUUGGUUCCAUGAGGCCCUGGAGUGUCACAAUGUUCCCCUUGCUUCUGCAGUGUCACAAUGGCCCCGUGCUUCCAUGAGGCCUUGCAGUGUCACAAUGGCUUCGUGGUUCCACAGAGCCCUGAUGUGUCACAAUGGCCCCUGGGCUCCGUGUGCCCUCGCUGUGUCACAGCGGCUCCUCUGUGACACUGCGGCUGCACAAGGUCACCAUGGACCCUUGGUUCCUUGGGGUCACCGAGUUCACAAUGGUCUCCUUGAUUCCAUGAGGCAGCACAGUGUCACAAUGGCCCCUUGGUUCCAUGAGGUUCUGUAGUGCCACCAUGGUGUCCUUGGACCCACAUUGUCACAACUGACCCACGGUUCCAUGAGGUUCUGCAGUGUCACUGUAGCAGUCAGAGGCCCUGCAAGGCCUCCCUGGCGGUCACUCACCUAAGAUAAGAAAUGCCUAAGUCACGGUGACUGGACCAAAGAAGCCCCUCUUCUGCAUUCAGACCCUUCUUAUCUCUCUUUUGGCAGAAGAACUGUCACUGCAUCCCUUCAGAGGAGCUGGCAAUAAAGGACAUCGCUGUGGAACCACA